UACAGAGACUGCAAGCGUUAUUCGGAUUCACUGGCGUAAAGGGUGCGCAGGCGGCCAUGUGUGUGAGGCGUGAAAGCCCGAUGCUUAACAUCGGAAUUGCACCUCAAACUACAUGGCUAGAGCAUUGGAGAGGGUAGCGGAAUUCACGGUGUAGCAGUGAAAUGCGUAGAUAUCGUGAGGAACACCAGAGGCGAAGGCGGCUACCUGGACAAUUGCUGACGCUCAGGCACGAAAG
rnacentral:rRNA from 1 species